rnacentral:rRNA from 1 species
GGUUAAGCGACUAAGCGUACACGGUGGAUGCCCUGGCAGUCAGAGGCGAUGAAGGACGUGCUAAUCUGCGAUAAGCGUCGGUAAGGUGAUAUGAACCGUUAUAACCGGCGAUUUCCGAAUGGGGAAACCCAGUGUGUUUCGACACACUAUCAUUAACUGAAUCCAUAGGUUAAUGAGGCGAACCGGGGGAACUGAAACAUCUAAGUACCCCGAGGAAAAGAAAUCAACCGAGAUUCCCCCAGUAGCGGCGAGCGAACGGGGAGCAGCCCAGAGCCUGAAUCAGUGUGUGUGUUAGUGGAAGCGUCUGGAAAGGCGCGCGAUACAGGGUGACAGCCCCGUACACAAAAAUGCACAUGCUGUGAGCUCGAUGAGUAGGGCGGGACACGUGGUAUCCUGUCUGAAUAUGGGGGGACCAUCCUCCAAGGCUAAAUACUCCUGACUGACCGAUAGUGAACCAGUACCGUGAGGGAAAGGCGAAAAGAACCCCGGCGAGGGGAGUGAAAAAGAACCUGAAACCGUGUACGUACAAGCAGUGGGAGCACGCUUAGGCGUGUGACUGCGUACCUUUUGUAUAAUGGGUCAGCGACUUAUAUUCUGUAGCAAGGUUAACCGAAUAGGGGAGCCGAAGGGAAACCGAGUCUUAACUGGGCGUUAAGUUGCAGGGUAUAGACCCGAAACCCGGUGAUCUAGCCAUGGGCAGGUUGAAGGUUGGGUAACACUAACUGGAGGACCGAACCGACUAAUGUUGAAAAAUUAGCGGAUGACUUGUGGCUGGGGGUGAAAGGCCAAUCAAACCGGGAGAUAGCUGGUUCUCCCCGAAAGCUAUUUAGGUAGCGCCUCGUGAAUUCAUCUCCGGGGGUAGAGCACUGUUUCGGCAAGGGGGUCAUCCCGACUUACCAACCCGAUGCAAACUGCGAAUACCGGAGAAUGUUAUCACGGGAGACACACGGCGGGUGCUAACGUCCGUCGUGAAGAGGGAAACAACCCAGACCGCCAGCUAAGGUCCCAAAGUCAUGGUUAAGUGGGAAACGAUGUGGGAAGGCCCAGACAGCCAGGAUGUUGGCUUAGAAGCAGCCAUCAUUUAAAGAAAGCGUAAUAGCUCACUGGUCGAGUCGGCCUGCGCGGAAGAUGUAACGGGGCUAAACCAUGCACCGAAGCUGCGGCAGCGACGCUUAUGCGUUGUUGGGUAGGGGAGCGUUCUGUAAGCCUGUGAAGGUGUGCUGUGAGGCAUGCUGGAGGUAUCAGAAGUGCGAAUGCUGACAUAAGUAACGAUAAAGCGGGUGAAAAGCCCGCUCGCCGGAAGACCAAGGGUUCCUGUCCAACGUUAAUCGGGGCAGGGUGAGUCGACCCCUAAGGCGAGGCCGAAAGGCGUAGUCGAUGGGAAACAGGUUAAUAUUCCUGUACUUGGUGUUACUGCGAAGGGGGGACGGAGAAGGCUAUGUUGGCCGGGCGACGGUUGUCCCGGUUUAAGCGUGUAGGCUGGUUUUCCAGGCAAAUCCGGAAAAUCAAGGCUGAGGCGUGAUGACGAGGCACUACGGUGCUGAAGCAACAAAUGCCCUGCUUCCAGGAAAAGCCUCUAAGCAUCAGGUAACAUCAAAUCGUACCCCAAACCGACACAGGUGGUCAGGUAGAGAAUACCAAGGCGCUUGAGAGAACUCGGGUGAAGGAACUAGGCAAAAUGGUGCCGUAACUUCGGGAGAAGGCACGCUGAUAUGUAGGUGAAGUCCCUCGCGGAUGGAGCUGAAAUCAGUCGAAGAUACCAGCUGGCUGCAACUGUUUAUUAAAAACACAGCACUGUGCAAACACGAAAGUGGACGUAUACGGUGUGACGCCUGCCCGGUGCCGGAAGGUUAAUUGAUGGGGUUAGCGCAAGCGAAGCUCUUGAUCGAAGCCCCGGUAAACGGCGGCCGUAACUAUAACGGUCCUAAGGUAGCGAAAUUCCUUGUCGGGUAAGUUCCGACCUGCACGAAUGGCGUAAUGAUGGCCAGGCUGUCUCCACCCGAGACUCAGUGAAAUUGAACUCGCUGUGAAGAUGCAGUGUACCCGCGGCAAGACGGAAAGACCCCGUGAACCUUUACUAUAGCUUGACACUGAACAUUGAGCCUUGAUGUGUAGGAUAGGUGGGAGGCUUUGAAGUGUGGACGCCAGUCUGCAUGGAGCCGACCUUGAAAUACCACCCUUUAAUGUUUGAUGUUCUAACGUGGACCCGUGAUCCGGGUUGCGGACAGUGUCUGGUGGGUAGUUUGACUGGGGCGGUCUCCUCCUAAAGAGUAACGGAGGAGCACGAAGGUUGGCUAAUCCUGGUCGGACAUCAGGAGGUUAGUGCAAUGGCAUAAGCCAGCUUGACUGCGAGCGUGACGGCGCGAGCAGGUGCGAAAGCAGGUCAUAGUGAUCCGGUGGUUCUGAAUGGAAGGGCCAUCGCUCAACGGAUAAAAGGUACUCCGGGGAUAACAGGCUGAUACCGCCCAAGAGUUCAUAUCGACGGCGGUGUUUGGCACCUCGAUGUCGGCUCAUCACAUCCUGGGGCUGAAGUAGGUCCCAAGGGUAUGGCUGUUCGCCAUUUAAAGUGGUACGCGAGCUGGGUUUAGAACGUCGUGAGACAGUUCGGUCCCUAUCUGCCGUGGGCGCUGGAGAACUGAGGGGGGCUGCUCCUAGUACGAGAGGACCGGAGUGGACGCAUCACUGGUGUUCGGGUUGUCAUGCCAAUGGCACUGCCCGGUAGCUAAAUGCGGAAGAGAUAAGUGCUGAAAGCAUCUAAGCACGAAACUUGCCCCGAGAUGAGUUCUCCCUGACCCUUUAAGGGUCCUGAAGGAACGUUGAAGACGACGACGUUGAUAGGCCGGGUGUGUAAGCGCAGCGAUGCGUUGAGCUAACCGGUACUAAUGAACCGUGAGGCUUAACCUU